rnacentral:rRNA from 1 species
AGAGUUUGAUCCUGGCUCAGAACGAACGCUGGCGGCGUGGAUCAGGCAUGCAAGUCGAACGAUCCUCCGGGAUAGUGGCAGAAGGGUUAGUAACGCGUGGGUAAUCUACCUUCGAGUUGGGAAUAACCUCCCGAAAGGGGGGCUAAUACCGAAUGAAAUUUCUUGGACGCAUGUCCGAGAAUUCAAAGAUGGGGACCCGUAAGGGCCUGUCGCUUGAAGAUGAGCCCGCGUCCUAUCAGCUUGUUGGUGAGGUAAUGGCUCACCAAGGCUAUUGACGGGUAGCUGGUCUGAGAGGAUGAUCAGCAACACUGGGACUGAGACACUGCCCAGACUCCUACGGGAGGCUGCAGUCGAGAAUCUUUACCAAUGCCCGAAAGGGUGAGUAUGCGACGCCGCGUGUAGGACGAAGGCCUUCGGGUCGUAAACUACUGUCAGGGGUGAGGAAACCUUAUUCGUUAAUAACGGGUAAGCUGACGUUAGCCCCAAAGGAAGCCACGGCUAACUCUGUGCCAGCAGCCGCGGUAAUACAGAGGUGGCAAGCGUUGUUCGGAUUUAUUGGGUGUAAAGGGCAGGUAGGCGGCCGUGAAAGUCUGAUGUGAAAUCCCAGGGCUCAACCCUGGAACCGCAUCGGAUACUACAUGGCUCGAGCUGCGGAGAGGUGAGGAGAAUUCCCGGUGUAAGGGUGAAAUCUGUAGAUAUCGGGAGGAACAUCGAUGGCGAAGGCACCUCACUGGCCGACAGCUGACGCUGAUCUGCGAAAGCCGGGGGAGCAAACAGGAUUAGAUACCCUGGUAGUCCCGGCUGUAAACGAUGCAGACUAGAUGUCGGAAGGGUCGAUCCUUUCGGUGUCGCCGUUAACACAUUAAGUCUGCCACCUGGGGAGUACGGUCGCAAGACUGAAACUCAAAGGAAUUGACGGGGACCCGCACAAGCGGUGGAGCAUGUGGUUUAAUUCGAGGCUACGCGAGGAACCUUACCUGGGCUUGAAAAGCUAGCAGUAGUCCUGAUGAAAGUCGGGGCGAUCGUAUCCAAUCGGAGGCUAGUACAGGUGCUGCAUGGCUGUCGUCAGCUCGUGCAGUGAAGUGUUGGGUUAAGUCCCGCAACGAGCGCAACCAUUACCUCUAGUUGCCAUCGAGUCAUGUCGGGGACUCUAGAGGGACUGCCGGUGACAAACCGGAGGAAGGUGGAGAUGACAUCAAGUCAGCAUGGCCCUUACGCCCAGGGCUACACACGUGCUACAAUGACCGGUACAAUGGGCUGCAAACCCGCGAGGGGGAGCCAAUCCCAAAAAGCCGGCCUCAGUACGGAUCGCAGGCUGCAAUUCGCCUGCGUGAAGCUGGAAUCGCUAGUAAUGGCGCAUCAGACAUGGCGCCGUGAAUACGUUCCCGGGUCUUGUACACACCGCCCGUCAAGCCACCUGAAUCGGUGGGACCCGAAGUCGUUUACCUAACCGCAAGGAGGGGAACGCCUAAGGUCAAACUGGUGAGGAGGGCUAAGUCGUAACAA